AUACGAAAGGUGCAAGCGUUGUUCGGAUUUACUGGGCGUAAAGAGAUCGUAGGUGGUUUGUUAAGUUGGAUGUGAAAUCCCGGGGCUCAACCUCGGAACUGCAUCCAAAACUGGCAGACUUGAGUUCGGGAGGGGUAAGCGGAAUUCCGUGUGUAGCAGUGAAAUGCGUAGAUAUACGGAGGAACACCUGAGGCGAAGGCGGCUUUCUGGACCGAUACUGACACUGAGACUCGAAAGCGUGGGUAGCAAACAGGAUUAGAAACCCCAGUAGUCC
rnacentral:rRNA from 1 species